GACGAACGCUGGCGGCGUGCCUAAUACAUGCAAGUCGAACGAAACUUUCUUACGCCGCAUGCUUGCAUUCACCGUAAGAAGUUGAGUGGCGGACGGGUGAGUAACACGUGGGUAACCUGCCUAAAAGAAGGGGAUAACACUUGGAAACAGGUGCUAAUACCGUAUAUCUCUAAGGAUCGCAUGAUCCUUAGAUGAAAGAUGGUUCUGCUAUCGCUUUUAGAUGGACCCGCGGCGUAUUAACUAGUUGGUGGGGUAACGGCCUACCAAGGUGAUGAUACGUAGCCGAACUGAGAGGUUGAUCGGCCACAUUGGGACUGAGACACGGCCCAAACUCCUACGGGAGGCAGCAGUAGGGAAUCUUCCACAAUGGACGCAAGUCUGAUGGAGCAACGCCGCGUGAGUGAAGAAGGUCUUCGGAUCGUAAAACUCUGUUGUUAGAGAAGAACACGAGUGAGAGUAACUGUUCAUUCGAUGACGGUAUCUAACCAGCAAGUCACGGCUAACUACGUG
rnacentral:rRNA from 1 species